UCAAAAUCAGUGAACAGGAGUAGUAGCAAAGCAUCCGUUUCAGAGAGUCUAUGGCUGGUGAAAAUAGACCGUUCAUCUUUGUGAACUCGCCUGGGAGAUGGAUACGCCAAAAGUGUAUCACGUUGCUCGCGUUAAGAGUUUGAGGGCAUGUUUAGGCAUGAACUAAGGUGGUACCGCGAUGAUUCGUCCUUAGC
rnacentral:ncRNA from 1 species